ACAAGAGGCUGCUUUUGACUGACAUGAGGUCACACUUUCUGGGAGUGUGGAGUCACCUCUGUUCAUGACAGCAAUCUCCAAAGGUCAUAAAUACCCUAAAUUCUAAGUUAUGCAUCUCCCAUCCAUGAACUAAGCUGAAUGGUUUUCCAUCCUGUGUAUAUCCCUACCUGGCCCAGCUCUUAGGAAGGUACACAGCUAUAGAAUUUGCCAUGGCUGGCCAAGGAGCCAUCAACACCCUUCCUGAGCUGCAUGAGGGCAGGUACAUGAUAGCUAUAAUUAUCCUCAUUUAAUCUUCUCCGAAAUAGCUGCCUGUUGCCAUUUAGUGGCAUGAUAGUGGGAAUAGGUGCCAGGUUGCUAAGAAUAACUGGGAUGCAAAAAUCCUGAGAGCAAUCUUAAAAUUAUUGUUGACAGCAGAUAAAGAAAGUGUUGGUUAGGCACACUAUUAUAGGAAGUCAAGUCAGCCAGGACAUUUCUGAGUAAAAAAGUCAAUAGACUCCCCUCUUCAUUAUACACAUUUUCUAGUCCUUUCCCACCAACCUCAGAAGAAAAAUAUUUGGAGUUAGGAGGUCUAUCUUGACCUUCUCAUAAUUAUGGUGUUUGGCAUACAGGGGCCAGCCCAGAUAUGGCUCUUUUUCUGACAUUGUCUAUGUUUGCCAGUAUUUCUAGCUGCCCAAAACCUCCUGAAACUGUAUCCAAUGGGAGAAAGAUGGGCUACCCUCUUAUGGGCCACUGAGUCUUCUCCUUCUGGGAGUCCUAAAUGACAAAUUUAAAUAAAGCCCCAUAGGUGGCAAUUCAUUAGUUUAUUCCCCGCCCUCUCAUCUCCUUAGUGUUGGGCAUAUUGUUUAAAUGUAAUUUAAACACCCAGAUGAAGUUGUGGGCAAGUAAUAAAGCAAACUGCUCUAGCAGAUUGAGAGAGGUGAAAAAUGGACAGCCUUCUGGACAGAGUACAAAUCCAGAAAUGACUGGAAAGUAAAACAAGAACAGGGUGCAUUUGUUUCGGACAUCGGCAGCUGUAGCCAGAGCACCCCUCCGAGAGGUAUGGGACAUGAAAGGAAUCUUCGGCUGUGAUUAGCGAAAAGGAACAACCUUCGUUGGGGGAGGGAAGGAUCAGGUCAUGUUUAGGAUGCCUUUCUAAAGAACAUGGGCACCCCAGCCUGCAGGGGUGAGAUAGGGUUACCUGUGUGUAUGGACAGGGCUGUGUAAGAGAAUCCAACAGCACUAAAUCAAAACCUCUCCUAAGACCUGGCUGCUUUCUGGCCGCCUCCCCUAGACUAAGGGGUGACUCAGAGUGUGCCUGGCUCUGGGACUUCAAACAUUUCUGAGUAAUUCCCAUGGAUCUGGACAAGGGCAGUUAGAGGACUGGUUUGGAAUGACCACUGUGGAUCAAAAGAUACUUCCUGUGGCCAGCAGGCAGAAGGCAAUUGCCUAGGAAGCUCAAUUUUGAGGUGUCUUCUGCUCAACUAGAAGGCAGAGGUGUCUUCUAACGUACUCAUUUGUAGGGGCUGGAAAGAAUUUACUAACAUAAGAGAGGCACGAGCUGGGCUUCCCUCCACGGUUGGCACCCCUGAUUUAGCAGAGUACACAAAGACCAAGUUUUCAAAUGGUGAAAGAGAAGCUGAAUUUUUAGCAACGGAUGAAGAUCCAAAUGAGCUAGCCAUUGGCUACCUCUCUGAUCUAACUUCCCACUACUCUUCCCUGGCUCACUCUGCUCCCACGCAAGACACUGGCAUUCUGCUGUUCCGUGAACAUGAACAUGGUGAGUACUCUCCUACCUCAGGAUCUUUGCACUGGUUGUCCAUCCCCCACCACCUCCCCCCAAGAAUCUACUCCUCCAGACGUUUCCUGGCUUGUUCACUCACUUCAUUCCUCACAUAGACCUUUCCCAGUCAUCCUGUCAAAAUAGUACCUCUUCACCACCCCAUUCUCUAUUCCUUCACCCUGUUCUAAUUUCAUCAGUGGCACUCACACUGCCUCGCAUCAUAUGAUCUAUUAAUAUUUAUUUAUUGCCUUUCUCCCCCCUCCCACCACCCACCUUCUACCCCAGGAAAUCCAUCACUUUCAAGAUUUUUGUGUGUUUUGUAUUCCACUGCCUGGUGCAUAGAAAAUCCUCAACAAUUAUUGAAUUUUUAAAAUCUAUGUCUACCCAUCCCAAAAAUUUCUGGGACUAGUCUCUGAGAACAGCUCUCAGGUCCAUCCUUUUCGGUGGCGUGUCUUCAGGAGAGAAUACCGGUGCUGCUGUGCUUCUGGCCUGUGCUGCUUUGCUGUCUUACUACACAUUAGAACCCUGUAAAUUUUCCAAGAUCACCAAGGUGAUAUUUCCCACUAAAUGGAACCUGGAUCCUUAGAGAAGUGGUGGACACCAGGUCUGAGGAAAGAAUAUGCAAGAAACAUAUAUACAAGAAAGCUAUCAAAAGAACAUGAGGGCCUAGGUGGCUCAGCUGUUGGGCUGCCUUUGGCUCGGGGUAUGAUCCUGAGUCCCAGGAUGGAGUCCCGUGUCGGGCUUCCUGUGUGGAGCCUGCUUCUCCCUCUGCCUGUCUC